CAGUCGCCGCGGUAAUACGAAGGGGGCAAGCGUUGUUCGGAAUUACUGGGCGUAAAGGGCGCGUAGGCGGUUUGUUAAGUUAGAUGUGAAAGCCCUGGGCUUAACCCGGGAAUAGCAUUUGAUACUGGCAAGCUAGAAUCCGGAAGAGGUUGGUGGAAUUCCCAGUGUAGAGGUGAAAUUCGUAGAGAUUGGGAAGAACACCGGAGGCGAAGGCGGCCAACUGGUCCGGUAUUGACGCUGAGGCGCGAAAGCGUGGGGAGCAAACAGGAUUAGAUACCCGCGUAGUCCCUGUCUCUUAUAC
rnacentral:rRNA from 1 species